rnacentral:rRNA from 1 species
AACGAACGCUGGCGGCAGGCUUAACACAUGCAAGUCGAGCGGAUGAGAGGAGCUUGCUCUUUGAUUUAGCGGCGGACGGGUGAGUAAUGCCUAGGAAUCUGCCUGGUAGUGGGGGACAACGUCUCGAAAGGAACGCUAAUACCGCAUACGUCCUACGGGAGAAAGUGGGGGAUCUUCGGACCUCACGCUAUCAGAUGAGCCUAGGUCGGAUUAGCUAGUUGGUGAGGUAAUGGCUAACCAAGGCGACGAUCCGUAACUGGUCUGAGAGGAUGAGCAGUCACACUGGAACAGAGACACGGUCCAGACUCCUACGGGAGGCAGCAGUGGGGAAUAUUGGACAAUGGGCGCAAGCCUGAUCCAGCCAUGCCGCGUGUGUGAAGAAGGUCUUCGGAUUGUAAAGCACUUUAAGUUGGGAGGAAGGUCAGUAGCUUAAUACGUUGCUGAUUUGACGUUACCGACAGAAUAAGCACCGGCUAACUCUGUGCCAGCCGCCGCUGUAACAC